CGGAGUUUGGCGCAGUCUGGUAGCGCACCUGGUUUGGGACCAGGGGGUCGCAGGUUCAAAUCCUGCAACUCCGACCA
rnacentral:tRNA from 1 species